ACACAUGCAGUCGAACGGUGAAGAGAGCUUGCUCUCUGGAUCAGUGGCGAACGGGUGAGUAACACGUGAGCAAUCUGCCCCUGACUCUGGGAUAAGCGCUGGAAACGGCGUCUAAUACCGGAUACGAGCUGCGAAGGCAUCUUCAGCAGCUGGAAAGAAUUUCGGUCAGGGAUGAGCUCGCGGCCUAUCAGCUAGUUGGUGAGGUAAUGGCUCACCAAGGCGUCGACGGGUAGCCGGCCUGAGAGGGUGACCGGCCACACUGGGACUGAGACACGGCCCAGACUCCUACGGGAGGCAGCAGUGGGGAAUAUUGCACAAUGGGCGCAAGCCUGAUGCAGCAACGCCGCGUGAGGGACGACGGCCUUCGGGUUGUAAACCUCUUUUAGCAGGGAAGAAGCGAAAGUGACGGUACCUGCAGAAAAAGCGCCGGCUAACUACGUGCCAGCAGCCGCGGUAAUACGUAGGGCGCAAGCGUUAUCCGGAAUUAUUGGGCGUAAAGAGCUCGUAGGCGGUUUGUCGCGUCUGCUGUGAAAACCCGAGGCUCAACCUCGGGCCUGCAGUGGGUACGGGCAGACUAGAGUGCGGUAGGGGAGAUUGGAAUUCCUGGUGUAGCGGUGGAAUGCGCAGAUAUCAGGAGGAACACCGAUGGCGAAGGCAGAUCUCUGGGCCGUAACUGACGCUGAGGAGCGAAAGGGUGGGGAGCAAACAGGCUUAGAUACCCUGGUAGUCCACCCCGUAAACGUUGGGAACUAGUUGUGGGGUCCAUUCCACGGAUUCCGUGACGCA
rnacentral:rRNA from 2 species